GAAACCGGAGCUAAUACCGGAUAGUUCCUGAACCGCAUGGUUCAAGGAUGAAAGACGGUUUCGGCUGUCACUUACAGAUGGACCCGCGGCGCAUAGCUAGUUGGUGGGGUAAUGGCUCACCAAGGCGACGAUGCGUAGCCGACCUGAGAGGGUGAUCGGCCACACUGGGACUGAGACACGGCCCAGACUCCUACGGGAGGCAGCAGUAGGGAAUCUUCCGCAAUGGACGAAAGUCUGACGGAGCAACGCCGCGUGAGUGAUGAAGGUUUUCGGAUCGUAAAGCUCUGUUGUUAGGGAAGAACAAGUGCGAGAGUAACUGCUCGCACCUUGACGGUACCUAACCAGAAAGCCACGGCUAACUACGUGCCAGCAGCCGCGGUAAUACGUAGGUGGCAAGCGUUGUCCGGAAUUAUUGGGCGUAAAGGGCUCGCAGGCGGUUUCUUAAGUCUGAUGUGAAAGCCCCCGGCUCAACCGGGGAGGGUCAUUGGAAACUGGGAAACUUGAGUGCAGAAGAGGAGAGUGGAAUUCCACGUGUAGCGGUGAAAUGCGUAGAGAUGUGGAGGAACACCAGUGGCGAAGGCGACUCUCUGGUCUGUAACUGACGCUGAGGAGCGAAAGCGUGGGGAGCGAACAGGAUUAGAUACCCUGGUAGUCCACGCCGUAAACGAUGAGUGCUAAGUGUUAGGGGGUUUCCGCCCCUUAGUGCUGCAGCUAACGCAUUAAGCACUCCGCCUGGGGAGUACGGUCGCAAGACUGAAACUCAAAGGAAUUGACGGGGGCCCGCACAAGCGGUGGAGCAUGUGGUUUAAUUCGAAGCAACGCGAAGAACCUUACCAGGUCUUGACAUCCUCUGACAACCCUAGAGAUAGGGCUUUCCCUUCGGGGACAGAGUGACAGGUGGUGCAU
rnacentral:rRNA from 1 species